rnacentral:rRNA from 1 species
UGGGGGAUAUUGCACAAUGGGCGAAAGCCUGAUGCAGCGACGCCGCGUGGGGGAUGAAGGCUUUCGGGUUGUAAACCUCUUUCGCUAUCGAACAAGGCCCGCUUAGGGUGGGUUGAGGGUAGGUGGAGAAGAAGCGCCGGCUAACUACGUGCCAGCAGCCGCGGUAAUACGUAGGGCGCGAGCGUUGUCCGGAAUUAUUGGGCGUAAAGGGCUUGUAGGCGGCUUGUUGCGCCUGCUGUGAAAACGCGGGGCUUAACUUCGCGCGUGCAGUGGGUACGGGCAGGCUAGAGUGUGGUAGGGGUGACUGGAAUUCCAGGUGUAGCGGUGGAAUGCGCAGAUAUCUGGAGGAACACCGAUGGCGAAGGCAGGUCACUGGGCCAUUACUGACGCUGAGGAGCGAAAGCAUGGGUAGCGAACAGG